rnacentral:rRNA from 1 species
UACGUAGGGGGCAAGCGUUGUCCGGAAUCAUUGGGCGUAAAGCGCGUGUAGGCGGUUCGGUAAGUCUGCUGUGAAAGUCCAGGGCUCAACCCUGGGAUGCCGGUGGAUACUGUCGAACUAGAGUACGGAAGAGGCAAGUGGAAUUCCCGGUGUAGCGGUGAAAUGCGCAGAUAUCGGGAGGAACACCAAUUGCGAAGGCAGCUCGCUGGGACGUCACUGACGCUGAGACGCGAAAGCGUGGGGAGCAAACAGG